UCUACGUUUUCAACGUUUCAAACGUUGGCGUUCGUUCUGCAAAACGUUUGCCGCUCCUGAAUUUCCUCAUCGUGCCACAAACGUACUGAGCACGGUUUAAGAUAUUAUAUCUUAAACCGUGGUACAGAGUCAUGAUAACGGCACCAGCACGAUUCUCAUUGGUCGACUUGCGAUUUCCCCCGAUAAUAAUUAACCGUUAUCGCAUAGUUUUAUCUUUUAUCAACAAAAUAUACCAACAAUUUGUUCACAAUACUGAGCAACUCGUCUUUGCAUAAUGCCUUUUUUUUUUAUUUUAUUACAGUUCAUGUAAUUUUCGUAAUAUUAAUUAAAAUAAUUAAUUACAAACAUCUAUACAAGUCAUUUAUAAAUGUAAUAGAAAGCUGAAAAUAUAAACGGACGGACGAGUUUGCAAAAUAAACAAAAACGAGUUGGGUCGGAUAGGAAUACCAAAAGGAAAGGUCAACGUCUUGUCUGCAAAUUUUCCAGGACCUUCACAGGAGAGAAUUUUUGGAAUCCGUAUAUAAAAUUGUCUAUACUGGCUGCUUUUCUGCAGUUAACAAAAUAAGAUAAGAGCAGUAUCGACCUCGGAGUCCAUUUUGUCAAAGGGCGUCUCAAAAAUAUUAGUUAAGCAUAUUUUUUUCAGCUUUAGUUUUGUAAGAAAAGCUAAUUAAUUAAAAUAAUAAAUACAAACUUUGAAUCCCAAUGGUUUAUGCUGCCAUUUAAGUAUAAUAAAUAAUAGUACAUACAUAAAAUUAUAUUAAUGGUUAUAAUUAAAAUUAUUUCUAUUGAAUCAUAACUAUUUGUAAAUUUUUGUAAAUAGUUGUAUAUUAUCUAUUGUCAAAAGACCAAAAAUAAUAUAAAAAUAAAGUAUCUAACACUAUGUUUGGAUGAUCAUUGCCAGGAAAAAAAUAAUAAAUUAUUAUAUUAGCUAUUUUUUGUAUGUUACAUUUUAUAUGAUAUUUACAUACAAAAUGUGUGUAUACAAAUUAAAUAAAUAGAAAUUCAUUGUUUUAUAUUUGUAAAUAGUAAUCUUUUAAAAAUAAACUAAAUGUAUUGUCAAUACCUAGGUACCGUAAAAUGGGAUAACUUUGAUAAUUUUAUACUGUUAUAUGACAAUUUUUAUUUUUAUUUCAUGAAUAAGUU